CGACGAAGAAGAAAAUAAUGGAGCGCUCUCUCUUGAUUUCAACAUCGUUUUUGUUUUGUUUUUUAUUUCUAUUUCAUCUAUUCAUAAAUAACAGAUAUCAGUGGUUUUUAUUAUAAUUUUGUCGUGUCAUGUACACGAAGGGGAGCGAAAAACGGAGGCUGGGCAGAUGCUCCACGAAGAAACACGAAGAAACAGGUAACAGGUAAACCUCAGUGGCUGCUGCUCAAUGUUCGACAGGGAGCUGUGACACUGACUGUGUAUAUUUUAGUGUUUCUCGGUGGAAGAAGUUCCGGUUAGAAAGGGAAGGAAAGGUUUUUAAUAUGUAUAUGUAUAUAUAUGUAAGGCGCUAACUUGAGCUGGGGGGCAGGUAGGGCACUAACAGGAAAAAGGUUGGUACAAAGACAAACUUUCGUUUCUUAUUCUCAUUUAAAAUGUCUAACUUUUAAUAAAUAUUUCUCUGAAUCUUACACCCAAAGUUUGAAUCUGAUGUAAAAUGUAUAGAAGUCCAUUACUGUAUAUAGUAACUAUUAAGUUUAAUAUAUACCCUAGUAAGCAAUAGUACUUUUUCCUUUGGCAACCAUCUGUGCAGUCUGCAGUUCUGUUGAAGAAAGAUGUUGAAUCUAUUUAAUUAUUGUGGAAAAAUAAAUGAUUUCUGUGCAUUUUUUAUUUAUUUAUUCAUUUUUUGCAUGUACAUUAAAUUAAAGUUGACUAUGUCGAUUAAGCAUCACGAGGCAGGGGGGGGGUGUCCCUAUUUUUUUUUCUGGAAGUUGGCAACCCUAUUAGUUAGGUUGUUUAAUAUUUCUGCUAAGCUCUCUUUAAAAUUUAGAAUAGGGAGGAUGGUGUUGGUUUAAGUUUGCAGUGUAUUUUUUGCAUAUAUAUAUAUAUAUAUAUGUGUGUGUGUGUGUGUGUGUGUGUGUGUGUGUGUGUAUCAGAGGACUUCAUCUACGGGGGCCAAAGACUGCUACCGCAGUUCAAGGGAAGAUCAACAGUGGACAACAACAGUUACUUCAAGGCAUUUAAUAAUGUAAGGUAACCCCUUACAAAAUUAGAGAUGGGAAACAGUGGGAAAGAAGAAUUCCCUUUUUACAGGAAGAAUCCUCCAGCAGAAGCUCGGGGAGGGAUACAUAACAUUACAACAUCAGGACAAAAUUCAGUUUCAAAUGAGGUAAAUUAAUAGUUGUUGGUUUAAUGUACAGUUUUUAUGAAAAUUUAUUUUCCCCUUCUUUCACGAGCUGCUGCCAGCAGUUACAGAUUUCUUUAGAUGGUCAGUUUUAUUAAUGCAUGUACUGCACAUACACGACCUCUGAGUAGUUUUAUAGCCAUUUAGCAGCAGAGCUGUAAAUAACGAUGUAAUUUUGCUACUUGCUGUUACUUAGUAUUGAUAUUUCCUCACAGCAGAAGCUUUCCACUUUUGUUGUGUUAUAGCACAUUUCACACACCUACUACUCUCUAUCAAAAUAUAGUCAAAGUGCUAAAACCACAGUUAUGUACCAGCAGAUAAUGAUCAUUUUACCAAACACAGACAUUUUGCUGUUACUUUUAUUGCUGUGCAUAUUAACGAGCUUAGCUCUCAUAUUCUGGAUCGUACUAGAUAAUGUGCAAAUCGAUCUGAGAAGUUUGUGUUUUCAAUUGAUAAGAAGAGUUUAUCUUACUACUUCUGCUGCAUAACAGGAAAGAAAGACGGGGAACAUAAGUUAGCACUGGAUAUUAGCCAAAGAAAAACAUCAUCUUUAAUAUCAGUGUAGCAGCAUCAAGCUGUUUGUGUGUUUGCACAGAACAGUGAAGGUUCGCCUGAGGAGUGAGUGCAAAUCAGUUUGUCAUUUGUGAAUUUUGUUUACAGUUUCUUCAGCUUUUCAUUUUCUAAAACUGAAUUUCUCUCUCUGUGCGAGCUCCUGCGUUCUGCUCUCGUCAUUAGUUGUGAAAUGCUCGAGUGUUGCAACUUCAUCAAAGGGAGUAAUGCAGAAGUCACAUAUCACUUAGUGUCACGCCUAUUGGAACAAUAUGUGUACGGUAAAAACCCUACAAUAAUAGAGAGUGACUACAUGCACUCUGAGAUGCUAAUCUUUCACAACCCCAACAGGAGGAUUCGAGAGAAGUCUGAUCAAAGCUGGUGAGGCUAAACGACACGGGCUAAUCAACAGGACAGAAAACUGAAUUUACACUAAUCCAGUUCCUAGAGCAGGUCCCAUGUAUUUUCAAAAAACAAAUGUGGCACAAAAGUGCCAAAAAGCACAAAAUAUCCAAGGACCAAAUUGGAGUCACUGGGCGGGGCUACCACAGGAAAUUCACCACUGAUUGGCAGAUGCAGUUACUAUGUAACAAUUGGCUCUCAGACCUGUCAAAAUGUGGGCUAGUUCUGAAGACACACUGGCACCGUGUUGUUGGAAAUGAGAUAUAUAUGAGUGACUGUAGUCGGUCAGAAACAAAUAUUUUCUGUCUUCAGGUUGUUUGUAACAGAAAUGCGCUCUCUCACUUUGAGAUAUUUAUGGGGAUAAAGUUGCAUUAAAGCCCAGUCCAGACUGCUUGAUGGCCCCGACAGAGGUUUAUAAUAAUAAUAAUGAUAAUGAACUUUAUUUAUAAAGCACACUUAAAACCAAGGGUAUGCCAAGGUGCUUAACAAGUAACAUAGAGAAUAAAAGGAACAUAAUAGAAAUGGGACCAAAGCAAGUACUAGGUUUGCAAGCAAAUAGCUGUCACUGAUACAUAGGAAAGCAGCAGAUACAGAACAAACAAGGAAUUAAAUGAGCAUAAAAGUGCAUCAUAUAAAAUCAUAAAAGAAAUGUUAACUAGAGGGAAAGGCAAGAUUGAAUAAGUGGGUUUUUAGUCGUGAUUUAAACAGUGCAAUAGAAUCAAAGGCGUGGAUAUCAAGAGGACGGGUAUUCCACCGUACCGGGGCAGCCAGUGCAAACGCACGGUCACCCCGAGAUUUCAGCCGAGAUCUAGGUUGCGGCAGAAGUAGUUGAGUGGCAGAUCUAAGUGUUCUAGCAGGAGAAUGCGGCCUGAGAGGUUCACUAAGAUAACUCAGCGCUAAUCUAUUAAUAGUUUUGAAUGUAAGGAGUAAUAUUUUAAAUUGAGUACGGUACUUUAUGGGUAGCCAGUGCAAGCCAGCUAGAAUACAGCAAAAUUUCCUGGUACCAGUCAAAAGGCGGGCUGCUGCAUUUUGGACUGUUUGCAGUCUAAGAAAAAGAGAAGAGGGACGACCGUAGUGCAAGGAGUUACAAUAAUCCAACCUGGAGGUCACAAAAGUGUGAAUAAGCUUCUCCAGGUCCUCAUGCAGAACAUAAUGCCUAGCCUUAGAGAUAAGGUGCAGUUGGUGGAAGCUAGAUCUCACUACAGCAGACAUUUGCUUAUCGAGUUUGAGCGAGCUAUCCACCAGUACACCCAAGUUACUGACAUAGUCACAGGAAGAGCUAGCAAAGGAACCCAGGGCAGCACAGAGUUCGACACAAGGGAUUUUACUGUUGAACACCACAGUCUCAGUCUUCUUAUCGUUUGAAACGAGGGAAUUACUCAGGAACCAUUCUUUGACCUCCCGCAUGCAUUCUUGAAAGUAGUGCAGGGACACAGCAAGGUCGUCAGUAAGUUCAAAAUAGAUCUGUAUGUCGUCGGCGUAACAGUGGAAGGCGAUAUUGUAUUUUUCAAAGAUUGCACCUAGAGGGAGCAAAUACAACGAAAAGAGAAUAGGGCCUAAAACUGAUCCUUGAGGUACACCGCAGCAGACUGGUGCAGAGGAAGUGGAGAAGGUGCCUAAGUUAACUGAUAAGGAUCUAUCAGCAAGGUAUGAUUUAAACCAGUCGAGGGCAGUGCCUCUAAUACCCACAGUGUGCUCAAGUCUUAGUAAUAAAAUGUUAUGGUCCAGCUCAUCAAAAGCCAAAGAGAGGUCCAAUAAAACUAGGAUCAUAGAGCGUCCAGUAUCAGUAAUUACAAGAAUAUCAUUAAGAACUCUAACCAACGCUGUUUCAGUGCUAUGCAAUGGCUUAAAAGCAGAUUGAAAUUUCUCAGCAAUAUUGUUCGUGUCCAAGUACGCCUGGAGCUGGGAGAGAACUAGUCUCUCCAGGAUUUUUGGCAAGAACGAAAGCUUAGAGAUCGGUCUGUAGUUUAAAAGGUCAUAACAGUCAGAGUUUCUUUUUCUAAGAAUCGGGUGGACUACAGCAUGUUUAAAGGCCAAAGGAACACAGCCUGAGAGCAAGGAAAGGUUCAUAAGAAAUAGGAUACUAGGUCCAAUUACAUCACAAUAGUCCUUAGCUAUGUGAGAUGGAAGAAUGUCAAGCACAGUAUUGGUGUUAUUCAUUUGAUUAACUAGCCGCUUAAGAGACAAAAGUGAUGUCAAUAUAGCUUCAGAAACUCUUGUAUAAAUUAAUGUACGAACCACACGUUAUCUCAGUAGCAGAUAAGGUGAGCAGCAGCCAUCUUGGUUAUUUACAAAAGAUCCACAGCAUCCUCAGUGUAUUUCCAUCAAACCUGCCCUGUAUUAGAUGAAUGUUUGUGAUUGGCCUGACACAAACAGGGCUGUGUGGAAAUGUGCAGACGGAUGCCUUCUGCACGAGCUAAAGAAACAUGAGCUCUCUUAUUCAUUUGGUUCCCAGGCUAUAUUUAUUAUCCCCCCCCCCCCCCCCCCCCACCUUUUUUUUUAAAUAAACAGUAUAAGAUAUUGUUUUUGGUUGUGUGCGAAUUUUUGUACAGAAAUAAGUUUCCUGCCUAAAGAAAAAUUGUGUUUGGUUUCUCAGAUUGGCUCAAGUUCAGCUCACCAAAAGCCGGAAGCGAUUUAAUAAGGCACACACUAAAUGGGAGUGGUGAGUGACUGGAUCUGUUAUGGCAGUGCCAUUUAGAAGAAACCUCUCCUCGCUGCAGCCGUGUUGGUAAUAUCAGAUAGAAAAAUAAAUAAAUAAAAGCUCCUUAAAUGCAUGGUGACUUUUCUUUCCCCUGAAAGUUUUACUUCUAUCUUUGCUGUUGUGAAAUCCUCCUGUAAAUUCAGGCUGCCAUGUCUGCUCCUUAUGUCUCUUUUAAGCCUUUUGUGGAUCCGGAUGUUCUCUUUAUUGAGGAAUCCACAAACAAAGCUGAGCAACCUGUUUAUUUAAAAAGGCCCAUGCUGUGUGUGAAAUGUGUGCAACUUUGUCUUUGUGUCUCUUGCUAAAUGUUCGUGAUUGUUAUUUAAACACUCCCUCUCCUCUUCCUCUGUUCACCACAGGGCAGACAGAUAGACAACCACACACUUUCACAACUUACUUAAAGACUAAUUUAUUAUUUUGUUUUGUUUUUUUCAUUUCCAAUACCCAGUUUCCUGGGAAAAUAUUAUAUUUUCAACUGUGAAUCACCAGAUUUGUUGUAUUUCUGUUCUGUGUACCAACACUGUUUGUUAUUCAUUUGUUACUCCUCUGUUCUCUGUUUUCUUGUCUCCCAUCUCUAAUCUGUUGCUCUAACAUUUUUGUUCACUGCAUCUUUCAUUUCUCUCAAACACACACGUAUCUAUCCUUUCCAUUCCAGGUUAUUGGCUGUACUUGUCCUGCUGAUUUAACUAUAGUAAAACUCUGUUAUCUGUAAAUCUGGUGGGAUUUUGUCUUUCACUGCAUGUUGAAAAGGGGAUUUUAAAGGUUGACAUCUCAAUAUAAGCUGGACAUGUCUGACAGCCUGGUCGUACUUCUUUUCCUCAAAUUUGACUGAGAGGCAGGCUGGAUCACUUUGAGCGGCAGGAGAAGGAGAAGGGGAGGCAUCAAGCCAGUGAGAGAGUGGUGACCUUCUGUCACAGAGCUGAGGCCCGAUAAUCUCACAUCAAAGUCUCAGCUCAGACUUGACUGCAAUGGGCCCUAACUCCCUGAGUCUGUAUAAAAGAAACGUCUUCAAUUAGAAGACAUAGCGCUUUCUUUUCAGAUGAAACUUUUGAAAUGGAGCUAGUGCACCGAGCCAGUCGAGACAUAGUCGUCUAAGCUCAUUACAGCCACCUGGGGAGUUGGAGCUUUGGGCAAAAUUAAGUUUAUUCAGAUAUACCCUGGUGUAUGUGGAUAAACUUUUAUCUUGAUGACACAUAAAAGUUUGUGCAACCAUAAACUUCCUUUUUGAGUCUGCCCAUGCUUCAGACACAGCAGGAUAAGAUUGCAUCAGAACUGGCCAUAAAGAAAAACCCCCACAAAAAACAGGUUUUGCAGGCUUUAGCUGACAUCAGUGACCUUUAAAUGCUUGCUUUUUGCCAGUGCAGGAAGCGUUCGGGUCAUUUAAAGCACUGUAACGCAUUGCAAGUGAGGCAGUGCAUUGAAAGUAUUCUGCAAAGUCAUAAUACUCUGCGUGAAUAGCAGCUCCUAUACAUAUUCUGUAUUUAUUGGAUUCAUAUUUAUGAUUAUUUUCAAAUUGUUAUUGAACUAUCUGCCAU
ensembl:lncRNA